rnacentral:rRNA from 1 species
UACAGGGGGGGCAAGCGUUGUUCGGAAUUACUGGGCGUAAAGGGCUCGUAGGCGGCCAACUAAGUCAGACGUGAAAUCCCCAGGCUCAACCUGGGAACUGCGUCUGAUACUGGAUGGCUUGAAUCCGGGAGAGGGAUGCAGAAUUCCAGGUGUAGCGGUGAAAUGCGUAGAGAUCGGGAGGAACAUCAGUUGCGAAGGCGGCUCUCUGGACCAGCACUGACACUGAGGCACGAAAGCGUGGGGAGCAAACAGG